UACGUAGGGGGCAAGCGUUGUCCGGAAUCAUUGGGCGUAAAGCGCGUGUAGGCGGCCCGGUAAGUCCGCUGUGAAAGUCGGGGGCUCAACCCUCGAAUGCCGGUGGAUACUGUCGGGCUAGAGUGCGGAAGAGGCGAGUGGAAUUCCUGGUGUAGCGGUGAAAUGCGCAGAUAUCAGGAGGAACACCGGUGGCGAAGGCGGCUUGCUGGGCCAGUUCUGACGCUGGAGGAGCGAAAGCGUGGGGAGCGAACAGG
rnacentral:rRNA from 1 species